rnacentral:rRNA from 1 species
UACGGGGGGUGCGAGCGUUGUCCGGAAUCACUGGGCGUAAAGAGCUCGUAGGCGGUCUGUCGCGUCGAUCGUGAAAACUUGGGGCUUAACCCUGAGCUUGCGGUCGAUACGGGCAUGACUGGAGUUCGGCAGGGGAGACUGGAAUUCCUGGUGUAGCGGUGAAAUGCGCAGAUAUCAGGAGGAACACCGGUGGCGAAGGCGGUUCUCUGGGCAUUACCUGACGCUGAGGAGCGAAAGUGUGGGGAGCGAACAGG